CCAUCUCUGCACCUUCCCCAAAGCCUCCACAUCAGUACUGUAAUGGAGUGACCAGAACUAUAUGCAAUACUCCAAAUGCUACCUGACCAAUGUCCCUUAAAGAUGCACAUGUACAUUCCUCUCCUUGCCUCGCACUCUCCCCGUUCUCCCUCCCUCCUGUCUCUCCUCCCUAAAGUGCCAUAAAGCUGCACAUAUUCAUUCCCUUCUCCUCACCAAACACCCUUUUACCUCAUUUUCUCUCGCCUCUGUCACUCAUUCCACCUAUCUGCCGAUCACCCCCUCAUCUGUUAACAUAGUGUGUGCCUGAAGAAGGGUCUCGACCCGACAUGUCACCUA